UGGUAGGAUAGAGGCCUACCAUGGUGGUAACGGGUAACGGGGUGUUAGGGCACGACACCGGAGAGGGAGCCUGAGAAACGGCUACCACAUCCAAGGAUGGCAGCAGGCGCGCAAAUUACCCAAUCCCGACACGGGGAGGUAGUGACAAUAAAUAACAGUACGGGGUUCUUUCGGAUCUCGUAAUUGGAAUGAGUACAAUUUAAAUCUCUUAACGAGGAACAAUUGGAGGGCAAGUCUGGUGCCAGCAGCCGCGGUAAUUCCAGCUCCAAUAGCGUAUAUUAAAGUUGUUGCAGUUAAAAAGCUCGUAGUUGAAUUUCGGGGUUAGUAGGUUGGUCAUGCCUCUGGUAUGUACUGGUCUCACUGAUUCCUCCUUCCUGAUGAACCGUAAUGCCAUUAAUUUGGUGUUGCGGGGAAUUUGGACUGUUACUUUGAAAAAACUAGAGUGUUUAAAGCAAGCUAACGCUUGAAUACAUUAGCAUGGAAUAAUGAAAUAGGACGUUCGAUCCUAUUUUGUUGGUUUCUAGGAUUGACGUAAUGAUUAAUAGGGAUAGUUGGGGGCAUUAGUAUUCAAUUGUCAGAGGUGAAAUUCUUGGAUUUAUUGAAGACUAGCUACUGCGAAAGCAUUUGCCAAGGAUGUUUUCAUUAAUCAAGAACGAAAGUUAGGGGAUCGAAGACGAUCAGAUACCGUCGUAGUCUUAACCAUAAACUAUGCCGACUAGGGAUCGGAU
rnacentral:rRNA from 1 species